ensembl:lncRNA
UCACAAGGCAGCCUCAAAAUUGCUCUUGAGCGCUAAACUUCAAGAACAGCAUUUCCAAAUUACUUUUACUUUGGUGCUUCCUGUAAGAAUUAUGGGAUGUCUCAAAGAGAAGUGUGCCACAGACUUAAGACUCGGUUACCUCUCCCCCAACAGCUGGCAGCACCCACACCUCACUGGGCUGCUGGAGCACAUUCAGGACAUUCAGAUGGAGGUGGCUCCUUCACUCCCAGAUGUCUCAGUACUGGCUGCCUUACUGUCCAACUCCUUGUGACCCAGAGGAAGCACACAGAAAACAUAUUAAGGAAUACUUGAACGG